AGGACGAACGCUGGCGGCGUGCUUAACACAUGCAAGUCGAACGGAAAGGCCCUGCUUUUGUGGGGUGCUCGAGUGGCGAACGGGUGAGUAACACGUGAGUAACCUGCCCUUGACUUUGGGAUAACUUCAGGAAACUGGGGCUAAUACCGGAUAGGAGCUCCUGCUGCAUGGUGGGGGUUGAAAGUUUCGGCGGUUGGGGAUGGACUCGCGGCUUAUCAGCUUGUUGGUGGGGUAGUGGCUUACCAAGGCUUUUGACGGGUA
rnacentral:rRNA from 1 species